CGGCCGCGGCCGGUCCGGUCCGGACCGGACCGAAGUGGCGGGCGGUUCAUAUUUUCAGGACCGGACCGGCUGCAGCAAAGCUCGGUCAAGACCGAGAGGACCGACUGGACCGACUGAAUUUGUAUCCUGGGAGUGCGCUGGGAGGAUUUUUGGCUCUGUUUAGCCACUGUUUAGUCAUCCUUUUAUAUUUUGUAAAGUAAAUGGACCAAGAAUACAGCAUAUAUGAGACUAAUUUUGAACAUUUAGAAUGCUUGUUUCAAAAGAGGAUGGAAUCGACAAUAAAUAAGCAAGUUAUGCUAUAGAUUUACCAUGACAAGCUGAAGAAUGGAUGAAAAAUGAUGUAAGAAAAUUUUGGAAUUCAGUACUAACUGCUAACAAUGGUGUAUUCAACACUCAAUAGAUCAGUACGAACUGCUAACAAUUCAGUACUAAUUGUUGAAAAUUUUGGCACUGAAUACCUCGGUCAGAGAUGGGAUAAUGCAGAGGAGAGGACAGAGGAGAUCGAACAGGUGCAGGGGAGACGGCGUGCAGGUGCAGGCACAUCCUCCCCCUCCUCCAGCUUCGUGGUCAUCUCUUAUCGACAGCAGCGAGCCGGCGAGGAGGUGGUCGACGGCGGACAGGUGGAGACGGCGGCGGUCGACCCUCAACUCGACGGCAGGCAGCUGCACGCGCUGCGCUCCCUCCUCUUCUCCUCUUUCCCUCCAGUACUGCGGCUUCGUGGUCUACGGCGAGGUGGUUGACGACGGCAGCACCAGGAGGUGGUCGACGACGGAAGCCGGCGGAGGCGGCGCUCGACCGCUCGGGGUCGGGGGAGGGGAAUGGACGGGGUUGCGUACUUGAACUCUCUGCUUUGCCUUUAUUGCCGUCUG
rnacentral:lncRNA from 1 species